AAAGGGAUUUGUUUGAAAGGUGAUUGGUGCCAUUCUUGCACGCAUCCAAUUCAGCCAACAAUAAGCAGAGUCAAGCAGCUAUCCCUGCUUCAGAACCUCCAGUAUUUAAGAAGACUUUUGGCAGUCUGGAGAAGGGCACUCAGGAUAAGAAAAUUACUCAAACAAGUGUCCCUGAAGUCUGCAGAGUUGACUACUCAGGCAAAACCAAUACUUAAAUUUGAGUCUGCUCCUGCAAAGAAGGAAACUAAUAACAGUAAGCGUUUGCCACCAUCAGGUGUUGACAAUGAGCUUCGGGGAUAUAGGCCUGUGGAUACUGCUAACAAUGGAAACCGAGUCAGCUGACCACUCAUGUGCAGCAGCAGCCGCCGUUUGCAAGUAAACGAUCAUACUACUACGUUGAAUAAUAAGGAUUUAGAAGAACCGUCAAGGGAGCCUUCCCCUGGUUUUGAUGUUCUGGUGGAUAAUGAGCUAGGAGAUUCUGAUUAUUACCAUACUGAAGAUCAUUUUGGAAGAUCAAGGGAUCACGAGGAAAUGAAUGAAUAUUAUGAUGGUCGCUCUGGUGAUUAUGGUUCAUUAUUAGAUGCUGACCAGAUAUAUAUCGUGAUUCACGUGGUUAUGAUUCAUAUGAGCAGCUUCAGGGCCAGUAUGGCUGGGAGCAGCGUAGAUCCUCAUCAGAAAGGAUGUCUGGGGUUUUAGCUUAUCCAGAACAGAGGCGAUAUGUAUGGCUGAUAGCCCAGAUCAAAUUGAUGAAUCGGAUUUGAGACAUCAUUUGUCAAAGCAUAGAAGAGUCAAUGGCUUAAGGUCCGUCAUUAAUCAUGACUAUCCCCAUGAAAGACCUGAUGAGCAGGUCACCAGGGCUCUAGAAGGGACCUGCGCCAAGAUCGUGACAGACGGGAUAGCUCUCUUAGCAGUCGCCUCCGAGGAAGAAUAAAGAUUCCUGGGGCGUCAUCUUCACCAACUGAUGUAAGUGAUCUGCGGUCUGAUAGGGAGACAGAAAGGAGAAGGGAGCGCAGUGGAUUAUCUCCAGGGGGAUCACAGGUUCCUUCUCGGCUUCGAGACAGGAUAAAGGAAAAGUACAAGAGGAUUUCAAUAAUGAUGGAAGAAACAAUAGAGGUCUGCGCAUGAGAACAGACAUGAUAAGUGACAACAAUAUUGAUUUUGCUGCUCCAAAAAGUCUGGCGGAGCUGAAAAGUAGCAGCAAAAGUGCUGAUGGAAGUGAUCAGCAAUCAAUGGGAAAAAGGAAGUACUCAAAGAUUGACUAUCAACAGCAAGCUGGAGAGGAUCUCUCAUUUGAAGGGCCAAAGCCCCUAGAAGAGAUUUUGAAGCGAAAAAGAAAAAGUGAUUCAGUGGUGUCUGGAAGUGGCAUGACUUCUCAAUAUGCUGAAGACAACAGUCAAAGAAAAGCAGAUGAAAGCUCAAAACAGGUAGUUCAUUUCUCUCCAUCUCAGAAUGACUCCAGCCUCCCUCAUAAAGAGAAUGAAGAAUACAAAUUGGCAUCUGGUGUCAAGAGUGUCUCAGAAGGUGCCCAGUCAGGUGACAGUCAGUCGCUGUCCCAUGGUAAAAAUGAAGGAGAAGUUGAAGAAGGAAUGAUUGUUGAUGAUGCUACCAAGGUCCGAGAGCCUGAAGCAUAUGAUCAUGGUGAUGAAGACUUUGAUUAUGAGCAGGGGGAUGGGGACAAUUAUAACGUAGAUGAAGGAGAAAAUGGAGAUGCUGAAGAAGAAUAUCUGGAUGAUGAGGAUGGUGAUGAUGGUGAUGAUGACGACUUUGCCAAAAAGAUGGGUGUAAUGUACUAGCACCAAAGCAACGGGAGAUUUUUCUGUACUCUCUUGCUGCUGUUGGUUCAUUUAAUAGUGCAAAGCUUGAUGAGCUUGUUUAGAUUGGCUCUGAAAACAAUUGGCAAAUUUAGCUGCUCUACUGAUUUUGUGUUUAGAAGUAGAGUAAUUAAGGUUUUUUCCCCCUUUGUACCGAUCAGAAGCUUUGUGUAUUUAAGCUAUUGACUGGAUGGAAAAUUUUCAUCCUGCUUGUGGUCUUCAGCAUCCUUAGUUUUAUUAUUACAAUAGAGGUUCAUGACUGUAACAUUAGAUGGUUUAAUAAGGAAAAAGUUUUGAUGACUUGUUUGUGUGGACUUUCGCACUUU
rnacentral:lncRNA from 1 species